rnacentral:rRNA from 1 species
AUGCUGGAGCUCACCGGCACCGCCUUCAGCGGUGACCGGCCAGGUCUGGAUCUGGUGGUCGUGGUGGACGUCAGCGGCAGCAUGCACGGCAAGAAGAUGAACCAGCUGAAGACCGCCAUGCGGUUUUUGGUGUCGAAACUCAGCCUUAUGGACCAACUCUCCAUCGUCACAUUCUCCAACGCCGCCACGAAGCUCUGCCCGCUGCAACAGAUCACCAAGGCCUCGCAGCGGGAGUUGCAGAUGCUGAUCAACAGCCUAAAGCCCUGCGGCGACUACACCAAGAUCAUGGAUGGUCUCCGGAGCGGGCUCAAGAUCCUUGCUGACCGCAAGGUGAGCGGUGGCCGUGUCGCCGCUGUCAUGCUCAUGUGCGACGGCACGCGGGAUGACGCGCAAGGUGCUAUGCAGGUCGGCGUCAGCAACAACUUGCCCAUCUACACGUUUGGUUUUGGCAUGCACAGCGACCCUAGAGUACUCAGCACGAUCGCGGCCAACAGCAUGGGAGGGACGUUCUCCCACGUUCCGGACAUUGGUGGUAGCGGCCUUACCAAGGCUUUCUCCCAGUGCCUUGCCGGCCUGCUUACCGUCGCGGUUCAGGACCUCGAGCUGACGGUGGCACCCGCCGGCGAUGAGUCGACCAUAGUGAAGGUGACCUGUGGGAACUACCCGCAAACGCGCAACGGUGACUCGUUGACUGUCAGCUUUGGCCACCUCUACAGCAGGGAAGUGCGCAAUGUCAUUGUGGACCUCCGCUUCGCCACGGUCGACAGUGAGCGCAGCACGGAGAUGCUCAGGGUCACAUACUCAUACAACAGCAGCUCUUCUAGGAGACAACAGUUAUUUGCGCCUCAUGAGAUGCUAACCGUGUGGCGCACGAGCGUGGAGGUCUUACACACGUCCUAUACGACAGCGGAGUUACAGAGGGAGGAGGCCCGUCUACGGACAAGGAGAAUGAUCAACGAGGCAAUAACCAUGGCGGACGGCGAGGAUGUGCUUGCUGCCCAAUGCAAACUAGUGGAGGCCCAGAGCAUGUUGGACGAGCAAUCCAACCCGUUACUCAGGGCCGAGCUGCAGAAGCUCCUCGAGCACUUUCAAACCAGCGACGAGUACCUUUGGCGCGGCAGCAUGUACGCGUUCUCUUCGUGCUCUUCGCAUGACCGGCAGCGUUUCACGGCAAGGGGCCACGACGCCGAGACCAUGAGGCUCUUCGCGACGCAACGCAUGGACGAAUACCUGGAGCAGGCCAAGAAGUUCCACAUGGACCCGACGAAGCCGCUGCCGUCGGUGGACGACGACGUCGAGGAGGAGGUCGCUGCUCUUUUGAUUAAUGUCGCCAGCAGGGAAGAGGAGAUGCGGAGAUUAGGCCUGGAUACGGAGGAGAGCGUGCGUCUCUUUGCGACGCCACGCAUGGACACCUACCUGGAGCAGGCAAGGGUGUUCAACGAGGAGCCGACUAUGCCGCUGCCAUCGGUGAAUGAGGACGGCAACAAGUUAUUGGUGGCCCAAAACUCGCUCGAGUGCGUGAUGGAACAAUCCAACCUGCUGCUCAGGACCGAGCUGCAGGAGCCCCCGAAACCUGAAGAAGCCAACAAGGAGCAAGGUCGCGCCUACGCCUUGGCAUCGGAGACUUUGCACGGCCGCCAGCGUUUCCCGUCAAGAGGCGGCCGCGAGGAGAGCCUGCGUCUCUUUUCAACGCCACGCAUGGACGCCUACCUGGAGCUGGCCAGGGUGUUCGACAAGGAUGACGAAGACGUCAAGGAGGAGGUUGUUAGUCUCAUAGAUGUUGUCGCUAGUGAAGAGUGA